rnacentral:rRNA from 1 species
UACGAAGGGUGCAAGCGUUAAUCGGAAUUACUGGGCGUAAAGCGUGCGCAGGCGGCUAUGCAAGACAGAUGUGAAAUCCCCGGGCUCAACCUGGGAACUGCAUUUGUGACUGCACGGCUAGAGUGUGUCAGAGGGGGGUAGAAUUCCACGUGUAGCAGUGAAAUGCGUAGAUAUGUGGAGGAAUACCGAUGGCGAAGGCAGCCCCCCUGGGAUAACACUGACGC